rnacentral:tRNA from 1 species
GGCCGAGUGGCGGAAUUGGCAGACGCAGGGGACUUAAAAUCCCCCGGGAGGCAACUCCUGUACGGGUUCGAGUCCCGUCUCGGCUA